GAUGAACGCUAGCGGCAGGCUUAAUACAUGCAAGUCGAGGGGCAGCAUGAUUGUAGCAAUACAAUUGAUGGCGACCGGCAAACGGGUGCGGAACACGUACACAACCUUCCAACAAGUGGGGGAUAGCCCAGAGAAAUUUGGAUUAAUACCCCGUAACAUACAGAUGUGGCAUCACAUCGCUAUUAUAGAUUUUUCGCUUGUUGAUGGGUGUGAGGCUGAUUAGAUGGUUGGGGGGGUAACGGCCCACCAAGUCUACGAUCAGUAGCUGAUGUGAGAGCAUGAUCAGCCCCACGGGCACUGGGACACGGGCCCGACUCCUACGGGAGGCAGCAGUAAGGAAUAUUGGACAAUGGACGAAAGUCUGAACCAGCCAUGCCGCGUGAAGGAUUAAGGUCCUCUGGAUUGUAAACUUCUUUUAUAAGGGACGAAAAAAGGCUUUUCUAAGUCGUCUGACGGUACCUUAUGAAUAAGCACCGGCUAACUCCGUGCCAGCAGCCGCCGUAACAC
rnacentral:rRNA from 1 species